UGCCAGCCGCCGCGGUAAUACGGAGGGUGCAAGCGUUAUUCGGAAUCACUGGGCUUAAAGGGUGCGUAGGCGGGCACGCAGGUCAGGUGUGAAAUCCCACGGCUCAACCGUGGAACUGCACUUGAAACCGUGUGUCUUGAGCAAACUAGGGGUAUGCGGAACUUCCAGUGGAGCGGUGAAAUGUGUUGAUAUUGGAAGGAACACCGGUGGCGAAAGCGGCAUACUGGGGUUUGUCUGACGCUGAGGCACGAAAGCUAGGGGAGCGAACAGGAUUAGAUA
rnacentral:rRNA from 1 species